rnacentral:rRNA from 1 species
UUAGGAAUAUUCGUCAAUGGAGGAAACUCUGAACGAGCAAUGCCGCGUGAGUGAUGACGGUCUUUAUGAUUGUAAAACUCUGUUGUAAAGGAAGAACACUUAUCAUAGGAAAUGAUGAUAAGAUGACGGUACUUUACCAGAAAGCCCCGGCUAACUACGUGCCAGCAGCCGCGGUAAUACGUAGGGGGCGAGCGUUAUCCGGAUUUAUUGGGUGUAAAGGGUGUGUAGGCGGUUUAUUAAGUUUAAGAUAAAAUCCCGAGGCUUAACUUCGGUUCGUCUUAAAAACUGAUAGACUUGAGUGCAGUAGAGGCAAGUGGAAUUUCUAGUGUAGCGGUUAAAUGCGUAGAUAUUAGAAGGAACACCAGUGGCGAAGGCGACUUGCUGGGCUGUUACUGACGCUGAGACACGAAAGCGUGGGGAGCAAAUAGG